rnacentral:rRNA from 1 species
UACGGAGGGUGCAAGCGUUAUCCGGAAUCACUGGGUUUAAAGGGUGCGUAGGCGGCCUUGUAAGUCAGAGGUGAAAGCUUCCCGCUCAACGGGAGAACUGCCCCUGAUACUGCAAAGCUUGAAUUAGCACGAGGCAGGCGGAAUGUGGCAUGUAGCGGUGAAAUGCUUAGAUAUGCCAUAGAACACCGAUUGCGAAGGCAGCCUGCCAGAGCUAAAUUGACGCUGAGGCACGAAAGCGUGGGGAGCGAACAGG